rnacentral:rRNA from 1 species
AGAGUUUGAUCCUGGCUCAGGAUGAACGCUAGCGGCAGGCUUAAUACAUGCAAGUCGAGCGGUAACAGGUGUAGCAAUACAUGCUGACGAGCGGCAGACGGGUGAGGAACACGUACGCAACUUUCCUCAAACCGGGGCACAACCUUGAGAAAUCAGGGCUAAUUCCCCAUGACAUUGCGAGAGGGCAUCCGAUUGCAAUUAAAGAUUCGUCGGUUUGAGAUGGGCGUGCGUUCGAUUAGCUAGUUGGUAAGGUAACGGCCUACCAAGGCAACGAUCGAUAGCUGGUGUGAGAGCACGACCAGCCACACGGGCACUGAGAUACGGGCCCGACUCCUACGGGAGGCAGCAGUAAGGAAUAUUGGUCAAUGGACGAAAGUCUGAACCAGCCAUGCCGCGUGAGGGAUGAAGGUCCUCUGGAUUGUAAACCUCUUUUAUCUAUGAAGAAAUGUCCUGUUUCUACGGGAUUUGACGGUAAUAGAUGAAUAAGCACCGGCUAACUCCGUGCCAGCAGCGGCGGUAAUUC